GCAAUUUAAUAAAUACCGGAUAAAAAUUCAGUACUCUACUUUCAUAAUGAUACUCAUAACUGUUUUAUUGCAUUCAUAGUCUCUGCUGCCCUUUAAAAUCUUGUUGCAGAAAUUUUUUUUUUAAAUUGUAAAACCAUUCAAUAAUUUUAACAUGCGUUUGAGGUUUCCUAUUAUCGAUAGUUUCUAGGCAUUCGCAUGUUGUGCUAGUGGAUAACCCUGAACGAUAAUGACCGAUAUAAAUUUAUUAAUGUUAAAAUUGAAAAAUAAAAAAUUUCAAUUAAUUUACAUAAUGUUUAUUGUAGCAUACCCUUCCUUAUGGGGUUAUGCAAGAAUUUGUCUCCUGAAGACGAGAAGCGCGAAAACAGAAUUUGAGGAUGAAGCGCCGCGAGCCCGCCAAGCAGUCCGGAUCCGUGUAGAAGCCCACAAGCGAGCCCUCUGUGAAGGACCUCGGAGCCACCAAUGACAGGUGACUCCUUUACUCGCCUUUUACGACACGUGGGAUCGGACGGUUGGCAUAUUCUAACACCCUUUAUCUACAGGGGUAAUUGCAGCAUAUCUCGGACGAGAUGUAUUUAUUGGUAAUACAGUAUAUUGAAAAGUAUCAUAACAAUUUAAUUCAAUAUUGACGGCAUCCAUUGUAGAAUAUUUUUUAUUUAAUUAAUUCUUUUUUCAUAGUUAGAAUUUAUGGUGUGUUCUAUUAAAU
rnacentral:lncRNA from 1 species